rnacentral:lncRNA from 1 species
CUCUGGUUGGAUAUCCCUCCUGUGUGGAGUUUUCCCUGUGAGCCUGAAGCUUCAGAGAUGGGCUAGGGGCAGGAGAAGGUCUCCCGGGUGCUUGUGAUGCUAACCCCAAGAUGAAUACCCCCACGUUGGCUGGGGUCACCAUCACUCCUCCUUCCUCCCCCCACUGCCCCAUCUUGCUGGGACCAUGGACAGCGCCAGGUCCGCCCAGGUGGGAACACAGAAGGUGCGAAGAUCCCCCAGCAUGGCAACUGCCCCACCUCUCUGUGGACACUUCCCCUCCUCUGAGCUGAAGAUCUUCUUCACAGAGACUAUUUUUCUUUUCCAUUUGGAAUGAACUUUUUAUUAUUCUUGCUGAUUGACGUUUUCUCCCCACGAUUUGUGAGCUUCUCAUCCCCUGUGUGGUCCAAACACAUUAGUAUCCCGGGAGCUCGUGACAGCUAUUGACAGAAAAUAUCGUUUAAGUGGUGGUGACUGAUAAAGCACAGAUGGAAAUGGGUUGGAGUUGGCUGUAAACAAUUAUUGCAUGAAAAGCAUGUGAUUACAGUAGUGCUUUGAGAGCAAGUCAGCUAAAACAAGCUGAAGAUGGAAAAAAAGUUGGGAAUAAUGCUGUGGGAACUGUCUUUCAGAUGGCAGCAGAUUUACAACAUGCCCUGACCAAAAAAUAGAAGGAAAAAAGGCUGAAUUCUUUGAGCCCUUCCAGACACAACAGUGCUCAGAAUUAAGUCAAAAUGCAUUGUUUCAACAUCCUAAAAAUCAGAUGGUCUGCUUGGAGGCUAAAACCGAAGGGCUCAGAUUUCAGUUUUGAUUUCAUUUUGAAGUGACCUUUGUUGUCAAAGUUGGUCCAUUCUGUGGAAAGGAUGCACCAAAGGGUUAAAUUAUCAAUAAAUGAAACUGAAUGAAAGGUUUUGAGUGCAGCCAAAAUAAUAUUUUUCAUCUUUUUUUUUCAUUACAGAAGGAAAUAAAAAUGUUUUGAUGCAGUGCAGACGAAAUUUUUAGCAUGGAUAAAGCCCCAAGAACCAGCUUUUCAUUUGUGCUCCGUGGUGUCAUACCAAGAAUAAUUUUUCCACUUAACCAAGCCAUAACUUGGCAUGUUCAGCAAAUUCCUCCCGGAGGAAACUGGGAUGGAGCAGCAGGCAGCAGGGCCAAGAAAGCAGCGCUGUGGCAGAGCUCUGUGGGAAAGCAUUGCCUAGAUGUUCAUAGGUCUGCUCCAUGCUGAUACACAGAGUUAUUUCCCCUUCUCUUAUCUUGCACCCAUCUGAACGCAUCUGCAUUUCUGUGUGGAUCUGGGGAUACAUCUGGAGAAUACUUUCAGCUCCCUAAUGGCCCAGCUUGGAAAAGCCAGCAAGCAUUACAAACAAAGCCUUCAAGAUGACAAAUGGAGAUGGACUUACUCCUUGCAGAGUCCAUGUUGCUGGGAAGAUGGAUAGGUUAACGGAUAGAUGAAGCAGCCAUUCCCAUGGGGAAGGCACACUGAGGGUUUAGCUCUUGCAGCCCAUUGAAGCAAGGUUUAAGCCUUUCUGUCUGUAGAGCAAAACUUGUUUUAAAUGCUCCAAAUAUGAUGCUGACAUAGAAUUGCUUGAACAAUGAUGGCAGCGUGAGCUCUCACAAUGGUGUGGUGGGAAGCUGUCAUGUAAUUCAGCCAAAGGACAGACCUGGAACACAGAAGGAGUACAGCAGAGUGGAUCCUGUAGGACACAGACACUCGGCACUUGUUUCCUCUUGGAAACAUUGGCUAUUUCACAGGGGUGGUAUCUCAGAAGAGUGCUCAAGUCCCAUUGUCAACUCCUUAAAGAACAGCCUUCCCUGACACUAGCAGCCAUUGGUAUGAAGCUUCUUAGUAACACUUUUCCAAAACAGCCUCAAACACAACGUUUCAGCCAGAACAGGGUUCA